ACGAACCGUACAAACGUUAUUCGGAAUUACUGGGCUUAAAGGGUGCGUAGGCGGCCCGGAAAGUUGGAUGUGAAAUCCCUCGGCUUAACCGAGGAAUUGCGUUCAAAACUACCGGGCUUGAGGAAGGCAGAGGUGAGUGGAACUUAGGGUGGAGCGGUGAAAUGCGUUGAUAUCCUAAGGAACACCAGUGGCGAAAGCGACUCACUGGGCCUUUUCUGACGCUGAGGCACGAAAGCCAGGGGAGCGAACGG
rnacentral:rRNA from 1 species